UAGAAAUACAAAUAAUUUUUUAUACAAAUAAGUACGGCCUAGGGUCCAGGUAGCUAGCUACUAUACUAUACCUUAGGGCAGUGCUAAAUAGACAAAGACAGCACUCUACAGAGUAUCACAGACAACCCCUGAGGGCAGAGCAGUGUCUCCACCAUUGUCUGCUGGGCUGGCUACUCAUUCAUUUGUGAUACCCAAAGGCGGUGGUCUGAGGAUUGUGAUUGGGAUGGACCUCAUCUCUUUAUUGAGAAGAACCUCAAUGGAAUGGCUGCUGCCCAAGACAUCUCCUCUUUGGAGUAGGGGGCGAGUCGGACUCUUGUAGCCUGUCCUGUUCAGAGUAGUCUUCAAGUUCCUGUAUACAGGUGGGUUAAAUUCCUUAGCAUACCGUAUAGCGGGUAAUUUUCGGGGGACAAAAUAUUCG